rnacentral:lncRNA from 1 species
AGGAGGAGAAAAAGAAGUAGUCAAACUCAUUGGAUCGGCUUGGAUCCGUCGUUGCCGUUCAUCAUUGGCAGGAUCGUGUAUCACACGUCUACUAAUGCAUGGUUGGAAGAACUGUGCAUAGUCAUUUCAACUUCCGGUAGACAUUUGAUGAUACAUGGCACAAUCUAAAGCUGGCUGAGUCCUCUCCUUAAAGAGGAAAUAGGAACGAGGCCUUAUGCUCAGACGCACCCAUCAUCAGCCAGGUCGAGCAAUGCCACGGUCU